rnacentral:rRNA from 1 species
AUUAAGCAUAUAAUUAAGCGGAGGAAAAGAAACUAACUAGGAUUCCCCCAGUAAGGGCGACUGAAGCGGGAUUUGCUCAAGAUGGUAAUCUGCGUUGUUUACGCCGAAUUGUGGUCUAUAGACUGUGGUAUUACCCAGCCGGGUCAAGUCCCUUGGAACAGGGCAGCUGAGAGGGUGAGACUCCCGUCCACCCAGCUGGAUGAACCAUGAGUCAACGAGUCGGGUUGUUUGGGAUUGCAGCUCUAAGUGGGUGGUAAAUUCCAUCUAAAGCUAAAUAUUCGUGGGAGACCGAUAGCGUACAAGUACCGUGAGGGAAAGAUGCAAAGAACUUUGAAAAGAGAGUUAAAGAGUACCUAAAAUUGCUGAAAGGGAAGCGAAGGAAACCAGUGUUGGCUUGGUCAUAUUUCCCUGUCCGCUUGCGGUUUGGGCGCUGUGUCCGGCUGUAGUUGUUCUUGGUUGAGGGCUUUGGAAGAGCGCAGUGAGAGUUGAUCUCUGUUGCUAGCACUGUCCUUGACUGAGAACGACGAAAUGGUUUUCUUUACCCCGUCUUGAAACACGGACCAAGGAGUCUAACAUAUGUGCGAGUACAGGGGUGGCAAACCCCCGUGCGCAAUGAAAGUGACAGUGGUUGGACAUUUUGGCACAAUCCGCCGGCCUCAAUCCUUCGGGAGAACGGUCUGAGUGUGAGCAUACAUGUUGGGACCCGAAAGAUGGUGAACUAUGCCUGAAUAGGGUGAAGCCAGGGGAAACUCUGGUGGAGGCUCGUAGCGAUUCUGACGUGCAAAUCGAUCGUCAAAUUUGGGUAUAGGGGCGAAAGACUAAUCGAACCAUCUAGUAGCUG